UCAAGCAGAAAGGGCACAGGGCGGAUGCCUUGGCACUAAGGGCCGAAGAAAGACGUGAUAAGCUGCGAUAAGCUUCGGGGAGGAGCAAAUAUCCAUUGAUCCGGAGAUCUCUGAAUGGGGAAACCCACAUGAGCAAACCUCAUGUAUCCAUACGCCAAUCCAUAACGUAUGGAGGGGAACCCGGGGAACUGAAACAUCUAAGUACCCGGAGGAAAAGAAAGAAAACUCGAUUCCGUAAGUAGCGGCGAGCGAACGCGGAAGAGCCUAAACCAGGUCGCGUGCGAUCUGGGGUUACGGACUGCAUUUAAGAUUCUGUAAUGUUAGUAGAACGGUUUUGGGAAAGCCGGCCAGAGAGGGUGAAAGCCCCGUACACGAAAACAGAGCAGACUGAGCAGGAUCCAGAGUACCGCGGGACACGAGAAACCCUGCGGGAAGUAAGGGGGACCACCCCCUAAGGCUAAAUACCACUUAGUGACCGAUAGCGCAUAGUACUGUGAAGGAAAGGUGAAAAGGACCCCGGGAGGGGAGUGAAAGAGAACCUGAAACCCUGUGUCUACAAGCUGUGGGAGUGCUUUAUAUGCACGACCGCGUACUUUUUGUAGAACGGUCCGGCGAGUUGCGCACACUGGCAAGGUUAAGGACUCAAGGUCCGGAGCCGUAGGGAAACCAAGUCUUAAUAGGGCCAGAGUCAGUGUGGGCAGACCCGAAACCGGGUGAUCUAUCCAUGUCCAGGUUGAAGCUGCCGUAAGAGGCAGUGGAGGACCGAACCCACAUCCGUUGAAAAGGGUGGGGAUGAGGUGUGGAUAGGGGAGAAAUUCCAAUCGAACCCGGAGAUAGCUGGUUCUCCUCGAAAUAGCUUUAGGGCUAGCCUUGGUAGAGAUUUGCGGAGGUAGAGCACUGAAUUUCCUAGGGGGCGUCAAAGCCUACCGAAGAAUAUCAAACUCCGAAUGCCGCGUAAUUGCUUACCGGGAGUCAGACUGCACGAGAUAAGUUGGGCAGUCAAAAGGGAAAGAGCCCAGACCUUCAGUUAAGGUCCCAAAGUGUACGUUAAGUGGAAAAGGAUGUGGGAUUUCGAAGACAACCAGGAUGUUGGCUCAGAAGCAGCCAUUCAUUCAAAGAGUGCGUAAUAGCUCACUGGUCGAGAGGUCCUGCGCCGAAAAUGUCCGGGGCUGAAACGUACCACCGAAACUAAGGAAUCUAGUAAUAGAUUGGUAGAGGAGCAUUGCAUGCGGGAAGAAGCAGUACCGUAAGGAGCUGUGGACUGCAUGGAAGAGAGAAUGCCGGAAUGAGUAGCGAGAUAGAGGUGAGAAUCCUCUAGGCCGAAUAUCCAAGGUUUCCAGGGUAAAGCUGAUCUGCCCUGGGUAAGUCGGGGCCUAAGGUGAGGACGAGAGUCGUAGCCGAUGGACAACAGGUGGAGAUUCCUGUACUAUGAUAUGACAGAACUGUGGGGACACGUGCAGAGAGCGGAAGCCGGGAAUGGGAUCCCGGUGCAAGCGAGGUACCAGCCGCAUUGGAAAAACCGUGCGGCAAUGGGAAGACGUGAUGCGGAGUGAAGUUUAGUAAUGAAGUCCGUGAGCUGUGCGUCAAGAAAAGCCGCUAUUGUUCAUACCAUACCCGUACCGUAAACCGACACAGGUGGAUGAGGAGAGAAUCCUAAGGCCGGCGGAAGAAGCAUUGUCAAGGAACUCGGCAAAAUGACCCCGUAACUUCGGGAGAAGGGGUGCCUGCGCAAGCAGGCCGCAGAGAAUAGGCUCAAGCAACUGUUUAGCAAAAACACAGGUCUAUGCGAAACCGUAAGGUGAGGUAUAUGGGCUGACGCCUGCCCGGUGCUGGAAGGUUAAGAGGAGAGGUUAGCGGAAACGCGAAGCUUUGAAUUUAAGCCCCAGUAAACGGCGGCCGUAACUAUAACGGUCCUAAGGUAGCGAAAUUCCUUGUCGGGUAAGUUCCGACCCUGUCUCUUAUACACAUCUCCGAGCCCACGAGACAGGCAGAAAUCUCGUAUGCCGUCUUCUGCUUGAAAAAAAAAAAAAAGAAAACACAAAAAAACAAGAGUAUAAAUUACAGCAAAAAUAAAAAGACCUAAUCUAGAAAACACAACAAACCAGAAACAGAAAAGAUACACACAGAAAAAACAACAACAUUAAAGUAUAA
rnacentral:rRNA from 1 species